UACGGAGGGGGCUAGCGUUGUUCGGAAUUACUGGGCGUAGAGCGCGCGUAGGCGGACCUGCAAGUCGGGGGUGAAAGCCCGAGGCUCAACCUCGGAACUGCCUUCGAUACUGCGGGUCUCGAGUCCGGGAGAGGGAUGCGGAAUUCCAGGUGUAGCGGUGAAAUGCGUAGAUAUCUGGAGGAACACCGGUGGCGAAGGCGGCAUCCUGGACCGGCAUUGACGCUGAGGCGCGAAAGCCAGGGGAGCAAACGGG
rnacentral:rRNA from 1 species